rnacentral:rRNA from 1 species
UACGAAGGGGGCUAGCGUUGCUCGGAAUCACUGGGCGUAAAGGGUGCGUAGGCGGGUCUUUAAGUCAGGGGUGAAAUCCUGGAGCUCAACUCCAGAACUGCCUUUGAUACUGAGGAUCUUGAGUUCGGGAGAGGUGAGUGGAACUGCGAGUGUAGAGGUGAAAUUCGUAGAUAUUCGCAAGAACACCGGUGGCGAAGGCGGCUCUCUGGACCGGAUCUGACGCUGAGGCGCGAAAGCGUGGGGAGCAAACAGG